GGAGUCGGGUGUUUCGGGUGACGUCACUAAUGCGCGCCAGAAUCAUGCUGCAGAGGCCGGCGCCUGGGGAGCCAAAGGACCUACUUGGAGGAAAUAAAAGAGGGAACCAGCUGGAGCAGAGAGGUUGUGAAGAGACUUAAAUGUUGGCAGUCCUUUCUCUUGGCAAUGUGGAGAAGGCAAUAAGAGCAGAAGGCUGUGUUCCAUGCUGGCAGACAUAGCACACUUUGAAAUAAAAUGAUGAAGCACUUGGAAGAAGAUGGGAAG